rfam:Rhodanobacter fulvus Jip2 contig051, whole genome shotgun sequence.
GGGGCGGUAGCUCAGCUGGGAGAGCGUCGCGUUCGCAAUGCGAAGGUCGUGGGUUCGAUCCCCAUCCGCUCCA